rnacentral:rRNA from 1 species
ACGGAGGGUGCGAGCGUUAAUCGGAAUUACUGGGCGUAAAGCGCAUGCAGGUGGAUGAUUAAGUCAGAUGUGAAAGCCCGGGGCUCAACCUCGGAAUAGCAUUUGAAACUGGUCAUCUAGAGUACUGUAGAGGGGGGUAGAAUUUCAGGUGUAGCGGUGAAAUGCGUAGAGAUCUGAAGGAAUACCAGUGGCGAAGGCGGCCCCCUGGACAGAUACUGACACUCAGAUGCGAAAGCGUGGGGAGCAAACAGG